UUUAACCCGGGGUGGGAGCUCCUGCUCCCACUCCAGCCAUUCUGCCCCAUCUGGAGAGAUACUCAGGAACACGUGUAAAGUUCAUAGCGCAGAGGAACAACUAUAAAAUAGAAAGCCUCAGUUGCUUACCACCAGGUGACUGGAAGCCAAUUAACGGCAGUUCCUGUGACCAAGUAUAUCAUGCCUGCCUGUCAAGAAAAUAUUAUGAGAGAAACCAAAAACCAAAGUCAAUUGGAAGAAACAUCAUACCACACCAUCCAGUGGUGUUAGACCCAUCAGGACAAGAAUUUAAAGAACUAGGAUUGAUAUUCUGAGGUCCUGAGGGGUAAAGUAGAUGCCACAGGAGAACAAGUGCCCAUGUGAUGGAUCCACACACCGAGUAGACCCAGAAUAAAACAGUAUGCAGUGUCAAAAAGAAACGAACCAUCGAACUAUGAAGACACGGAGGAUCCUUAAACUCACACCUGGUGAAGAAGCCGAUAUGAGAAGGCUGCGUAAUGCACAGUCCCAGUGGUGUGGUGACCGGUGGGACAGGCAAAGCUACACAAAGAUCUGUGAGAAAAACUGCACAUGGUACAAGGACCAAACUAGAAGGAGCCAGACCAGCCCUCCAUGAGGAAUGGGAAUGUGACAGCAAGUGUCUCCAAGGAUUUCUACCACAGCCAGGGACACCAAUCGCCAAUGGCUACCAUGAGUGCAAACCACUCUCCAAUCGUGACCAUUCCCUAGUUAGAGGGAGGCAUUCCUGCUGCAACAUCAGUUCUCAAGGAUCAACUCGCUGCUCUAAGUGAACCUACCAUACACAACAUAAUCUCCAUAAGAAAAUGCACCUUGUACCCAGCAACAUAGAUGAUUUCAUAACUCAAGGUGACCAUAUUUAUAGCACAUUUCAGCUCAGACUAGGCCUUUUUCCAGUGCUCAGUUCAAUAUGUGAAUUA